rnacentral:rRNA from 1 species
AUGGGCGCCUACGGCGGCGUCGUGGAGGCGCGCCACCUCACCAACGGCUGGACCGUCGCCGUCAAGAAGCCGCUCCCCUGCGCGCACGAGAGCGCCGGCAUCGCGUGCGGCUGCGCCGACGCCCGUACGCUGCGCGAGGCCGCGUUCCUCGCGGCGUGCCACCGCCACCGCGUCAUCGUCGAGCUCCGGGCGCUCUCGCUCGACCGCUGUGCCGGGAAGCUCUCCGUGGUCAUGGAGUGCGUCGGGCCCAGCCUGCACGAGGUCCUCCAUGAGCACCGCCGCGGCCGGCCCUUCCCCGAGGCCGACGUGCGCUGCAUCAUGAAGCAGCUCCUCGGCGCCGCCAAGCACAUGCACGGGCUCCGCAUCAUCCACCGCGACAUCAAGACAGGGAACAUCCUCGUCGGCGCAGACGGCAUCAGCAGCGUCAAGAUCUGUGACCUAGGGCUCGCGGUGUCCAUGUCAGAACCUGCGCCGUACGGCCAGCACGGCACAGGCAGAUACAUGGCGCCGGAGAUGCUCCUUGGCAAAACCGACUAUGAUGCCACGGUUGACAUGUGGUCCCUCGGCUGCGUCAUGGCCGAGCUCCUCUCCGGGAAGCCACUCUUCGAUGGGGACGACGACGCCCAACAGCUCCUCGCCAUCUUCCGCGUUCUCGGCGUGCCAUUAUUCACGACCUGGCCAGCCUACGAGUCAUUGCCGCUCGCCGGGAAGCUGGUGACGCCGCCGCAUGUCAUUUCCCGCAACAAGCUCCGUCAGCACUUCCCAGAGGACCGCCUCUCCAAAGAAGUUUCGAAGUCCUCAAGGGGCUCCUCUCGUGUAACAUCGACAAGAGGUUGUCGGCCACCACCGCGCUUAGGCGACCAUGGUUCGCCAACGCCGUAG